UAGGUUAAGAUAGAAAGGGCGCACGGUGGAUGCCUUGGUGCUAGGAGCCGAAGAAGGACGGAACGAACACCGAUAUGCCUCGGGGAGCUGUAAGUAAGCAACGAUCCGGGGAUUUCCGAAUGGGGGAACCCACGUCUCGUAAUGGAGACGUACCCAUCCCUGAACACAUAAGGGAUGAGGAGGCAACCAGGGGAACUGAAACAUCUAAGUACCCUGAGGAAGAGAAAGCAAAGAUCUUGGGCCCCACCAAAGUAGUCGGAAUAAGCUACAAAGCUUUCCGUCACUUUGGUGGGACUCGAGUGCGAUUCCCUAAGUAGCGGCGAGCGAAAGGGGAACAGCCUAAACCGAUACCUACGGGUAUCGGGGUCGUGGGGCGUCUUAAAUGGAGUUAGAAAGAAGGAACUUAGUUGAACAGGUCUGGAAAGGCUGGCCAUAGAGCGUAAGAGCCGCGUAAACAAAAAGGACCUUCCUCCAAGACCAACCCCGAGUACGGCGGGACACGAGAAACCCCGUCGGAAUCUGGGAGGACCAUCUCCUAAGGCUAAAUACUCCCUAGCAACCGAUAGUGAAACAGUACCGUGAGGGAAAGGUGAAAAGCACCCCGGGAGGGGAGUGAAAGAGAACCUGAAACCGUGUGCUUACAAACAGUUGGAGCACAAUUCAUGUGUGACAGCGUGCCUUUUGUAGAAUGAACCGGCGAGUUACGAUUGCGUGCGAGGUUAAGGCGGGAAGCUGGAGCCGUAGCGAAAGCGAGUCUGAAUAGGGCGAAAGUACGUAGUCGUAGACCCGAAACCGUGUGAUCUACCCAUGUCCAGGGUGAAGGUGAGGUAACACUCACUGGAGGCCCGAACCCACUAGUGUUGAAAAACUAGGGGAUGAGGUGUGGGUAGGGGUGAAAUUCCAAUCGAACACGGAGAUAGCUGGUUCUCCCCGAAAUAGCUUUAGGGCUAGCCUUGGAGGAAGAAACUUGGAGGUAGAGCACUGAUUGGGCUAGGGGCCCUCAUCGGGUUACCGAACUCAGUCAAACUCCGAAUGCCAAGGAUUCAUCUCCAGGAGUCAGACGGCGAGUGCUAAGAUCCGUCGUCAAGAGGGAAACAGCCCAGACCAUCAGCUAAGGUCCCCAAGUAUACGUUAAGUGGGAAAGGAUGUGGAGUUGCAUAGACAACCAGGAUGUUGGCUUAGAAGCAGCCACCAUUUAAAGAGUGCGUAAUAGCUCACUGGUCGAGUGACUCUGCGCCGAAAAUGUACCGGGGCUAAACGUAUCACCGAAGCUAUGGAUUGUGCCUACGGCACAGUGGUAGGGGAGCGUUCCAAUUGCGUAGAAGGUAUACCGGGAGGAGUGCUGGAGCGAUUGGAAGUGAGAAUGCCGGUAUGAGUAACGAAAAGAGGGGUGAGAAUCCCCUCCGCCGAAAACCUAAGGGUUCCUGAGGAAGGUUCGUCCGCUCAGGGUAAGUCGGGACCUAAGCCGAGGCCGAAAGGCGUAGGCGAUGGACAACAGGUUGAAAUUCCUGUACUACCUACAUUCCGUUUGAGCAAUGGGGUGACGCAGAAGGGUAGGUGAAGCGUGCGAGUGGAAGAGCACGUCCAAGCAGUGAGGCUGAGUAUACAGGCAAAUCCGUAGACUCAAGGCUAGGCUGUGAUGGCGAGGGAAAUUGAAGUACCGAAGUCACUGAUCUCAUGCUGCCAAGAAAAGCCUCUAGCGAGGGAUGGGGUACCCGUACCGUAAACCGACACAGGUGGGUGAGGAGAGAAUCCUAAGGCGCUCGGGAGAACUCUCGUUAAGGAACUCGGCAAAAUGACCCCGUAACUUCGGGAGAAGGGGUGCCUCGAUAGGGUGAAAGCCCGAGGAGGCCGCAGUGAAAAGGCCCAAGCGACUGUUUAGCAAAAACACAGGUCUCUGCAAAACCGUAAGGUGACGUAUAGGGGCUGACGCCUGCCCGGUGCUGGAAGGUUAAGGGGAGAGGUAAGCGCAAGCGAAGCUUUGAACCGAAGCCCCAGUAAACGGCGGCCGUAACUAUAACGGUCCUAAGGUAGCGAAAUUCCUUGUCAGGUAAGUUCUGACCCGCACGAAUGGCGUAACGACUUGGGCACUGUCUCAACGAGAGACCCGGUGAAAUUGUAAUACCUGUGAAGAUGCAGGUUACCCGCGACAAGACGGAAAGACCCCAUGGAGCUUUACUGUAGCCUGAUAUUGAAUUUUGGUACGAUCUGUACAGGAUAGGUGGGAGCCAGAGAAGCCGGGCCGCCAGGUUCGGUGGAGGCAACGGUGGGAUACCACCCUGAUCGUAUUGAAAUUCUAACCUACAUCCCUAAUCGGGAUGAGGGACCGUGUCAGGUGGGCAGUUUGACUGGGGCGGUCGCCUCCUAAAGAGUAACGGAGGCGCCCAAAGGUUCCCUCAGAAUGGUUGGAAAUCAUUCGCAGAGUGUAAAGGCAGAAGGGAGCUUGACUGCGAGACCUACAAGUCGAGCAGGGACGAAAGUCGGGCUUAGUGAUCCGGUGGUUCCGCAUGGAAGGGCCAUCGCUCAACGGAUAAAAGCUACCCUGGGGAUAACAGGCUUAUCUCCCCCAAGAGUCCACAUCGACGGGGAGGUUUGGCACCUCGAUGUCGGCUCAUCGCAUCCUGGGGCUGAAGUAGGUCCCAAGGGUUGGGCUGUUCGCCCAUUAAAGCGGUACGCGAGCUGGGUUCAGAACGUCGUGAGACAGUUCGGUCCCUAUCUGUCGCGGGCGUAGGAAAUUUGAGAGGAGCUGUCCUUAGUACGAGAGGACCGGGAUGGACACACCGCUGGUGUACCAGUUGUGCCGCCAGGCGCAUGGCUGGAUAGCCAAGUGUGGACGGGAUAAGCGCUGAAAGCAUCUAAGCGUGAAGCCCCCCUCAAGAUGAGAUUUCCCAUUUCCAGAGGUCAGGUUUCAGAAGCCAGAAGUCUGAGUGAAAGCUUUGACUUUGAGGAGAAGAGAAUUGUAUGUCAAAUUACUUCUUUGAUAUACAUGCAUCUGAUAUCCGGUUUCCGACAUCUGAUCUCUGGAAAGUAAGAUCCCUUAAAGAUGAUGAGGUUGAUAGGUCCGGUGUGGAAGUACCGUAAGGUAUGGAGCUAACGGAUACUAAUGGAUCGAGGGCUUAACCUAA
rnacentral:rRNA from 1 species